ACAAUGGGGGCAACCCUGAUCUAGCCAUGCCGCGUGAGUGAUGAAGGCCUUAGGGUCGUAAAGCUCUUUCGCCUGUGAUGAUAAUGACAGUAGCAGGUAAAGAAACCCCGGCUAACUCCGUGCCAGCAGCCGCGGUAAUACGGAGGGGGUUAGCGUUGUUCGGAAUUACUGGGCGUAAAGCGCGCGUAGGCGGAUUAGAAAGUUGGGGGUGAAAUCCCGGGGCUCAACCUCGGAACUGCCUCCAAAACUGCUAGUCUAGAGUUCGAGAGAGGUGAGUGGAAUUCCGAGUGUAGAGGUGAAAUUCGUAGAUAUUCGGAGGAACACCAGUGGCGAAGGCGGCUCACUGGCUCGAUACUGACGCUGAGGUGCGAAAGUGUGGGGAGCAAACAGGAUUAGAUACCCUGGUAGUCCACACCGUAAACGAUGAAUGCCAGUCGUCGGAUAGUAUACUAUUCGGUGACACACCUAACGGAUAAGCAUCCGCUGGGAGACCCCAUG
rnacentral:rRNA from 1 species